rnacentral:sRNA from 1 species
CUGGCAGUGAAGGUAACCUCGUAAGUUACCACAGAGAAGUAUUCCAGAAACUAUGGUAAAGAUUAGGACAAAACUCGGGCUUUAUUAUACUCAUGUCCUGAGAAAAUGAGUGAAAUUGAAUUUAAAGCAGAAGGGUUUUCAGCCAGAAUAGAGGAACAUACAAAGCUCCAAACGAAUAGAACAAACGAAGUUAUGCAGCUGCAGCUUCGUGGCCACAUCUGAGCUGGAAGCAGAAUUUCACAAUGGCAGAAGCAAUGGCUAAGUGGCAAUAGUUUUGACGCUUUGACAGAAACAGAUGUGCCCAUAUGUCCCAGAUGUUCUCCUAGUGAUACAUUUGCUGUCAGUCUGGAAACCAUAUGUUAUGGCCACAGUUCCUCUCACAGAAAUAUAAAACUUGCUUCUUUCAAUAAAAGAGUCUAGACUCUUCAGACAAAUUCACAGUGUACAAUUCCAAAAUAUGAAAUCUAAUUUGAUUUUUUCUUUAUUUAGAAACUGGACAAGUGGAAAUUAUUUCCCAUCCAUGAAAAUCUACAUGUACAGAACUUUGAUUGUAUUGCUUGAUGUUUAAACACUGAGAAUUAAUUUAACACUAUGAACUAUAUUGAAGGAGUGUUU